rnacentral:rRNA from 1 species
CUUAGUGAUCCGGUGGUUCUGUAUGGAAGGGCCAUCGCUCAACGGAUAAAAGGUACUCCGGGGAUAACAGGCUGAUACCGCCCAAGAGUUCAUAUCGACGGCGGUGUUUGGCACCUCGAUGUCGGCUCAUCACAUCCUGGGGCUGUAGUCGGUCCCAAGGGUAUGGCUGUUCGCCAUUUAAAGUGGUACGCGAGCUGGGUUCAGAACGUCGUGAGACAGUUCGGUCCCUAUCUGUCGUGGGCGUUGGAGAUUUGAGAGGGGCUGCUCCUAGUACGAGAGGACCGGAGUGGACGAACCUCUGGUGUUCCGGUUGUCACGCCAGUGGCACUGCCGGGUAGCUAUGUUCGGAAGCGAUAACCGCUGAAAGCAUCUAAGCGGGAAGCGCGCCUCAAGAUGAGAUCUCCCGGGGCACAAGCCCCCUGAAGGAACCAUCAAGACCAGGUGGUUGAUAGGCAGGGUGUGUAAGCGCAGCAAUGCGUUGAGCUAACCUGUACUAAUGAUCCGUGUGGCUUGACCAUAUAACCUCA